GUUCCUUGGUAUUUUCCAGAUGACAGUAUGAUCUACUCAGUUUCUGUAUUCUCUUCACUGUCUUGGAAUGUAAGACCUACAGUGGCAGUGACCUGGUCUUUCUGGUUCACCGUGGUUUCCCGUUGAUCUCAAUCUUUUCUUGGCAUAUAGAAGACAGCCGUCAAUAACUGUCUGAUCCAUGGGUGUAGCUGUCCUGGAGAAAGUGAGCCCUCCUCCCCAGUCUGAGGCUGCUGCUGUGAUUCCAUUUAGUGGACGCAAUGGAACAGGAGUAAUUACAGGUGACUGCCACCUGCGAAAUGUACUGCUACAUUUCUAAGAAUUUCCUGACAAAGUGAGGGACACUAGUUACCAACGAGCUGCUUGGGAUUGCAAGGUUCACUUCAUGAAGCAGAGACGAAGGAGAUCUCAAGCAAGGACCUUCUACUUCUAAAACCCAAGAGCAUUUCAUCCUUUCAGGGUGAAUACAAAUAAACCAUACAUUUUUAACCAAUAA
rnacentral:lncRNA from 1 species